UGUCUGGUAGGUCAGAGAGAGAACGGUAGGGAGGAAUUAGAGCUGAUGCAGAGACCAUUGAUCAUAACUCCAGUCUCUGUGGUUGUAGGACAGCAGCUACAGGGUGUGUUGCUGGGGAAGACUCAGGACUCUUGAUUCAAACACCAUGUUACUGCUUAGAAGCUGUGUGACCAGGAUCAAGUCAUUAAACUCGAAGAGGAAAUUACACCCACUUUCAGAACUGUUAAGCAUUCCAAGUGAGAUCAUAACAAGGCUCUGCCCAGUGUCUGGUCCAUCAUUGCCCCCAUGCUGAACCGUGACUGUAAAAAUAACGGAGAAAUCUCAGAUGUGUAUAUAACUUGAAAGAGUCUCACAUAAAAGAUGUCUCUUCAGAUAUUCUUGUAGCUUUUUACAAGAACUUGGUAGACCCCACUUCAUUCCAGUAGACAAGAUUCUAAGGCUCAGGGAGAGCACCUUACAGGAGAAAUCUAUCAAUUCAGUGGAAUCGGCCCAAGUAUUCUGCAUCAGCCGGCCAAUACAGAAUCCAGGUAAGCCCUCCUGUUCAUGAGGAGUGGGAAAGCUUGGCUGCAUGGGGGCCAGAGCACGGGGAACUAAGCAACAGGGCUUUGGAAACCACAGCAAGCAAGAUCUCCAUGUGUGGCCGAGAGUGAGCUGCAACGCCAGCAGACUUGUCAGCCCUCAACAUGGAGGCUCCAACAUGAAGAAGCCACAGACCAAAAGACCUCUUUGGGGGUCACCCAUAAACAUUCUCAUCCACUCAUAUGAUCAUGGAGGGGGUGAUGGACCUAUACAAUCAACUGAGCUUGGAUCUCCAGCCAACUCAGUGAGUGAGUGCUAAAUUAGAGUGAAGUGAUUUGGAAAAUUAAGGGAGGUUUGGGUUGAAGAUCGUAGCCUGAACACUUGGGUUUUCUCACCUUUGUCCAAAAAUCCCAUUGAAAUUACAGUAAAGGUAUACAAAAGGGGAUCAAUAGGUAAGCACAGAGAGAAUAGAAUGGGGGAACAGAGGCCAGAGUUUUGAUGAAUUUAUGUAGCAUGGAAGGUGGACUAGAUCUUCGUGAUCAUCUAUCAGAGUGGAGGGAGCUGCUACUUAGAAGAGACACAGGGGAAGGAUGAUACAAAGACACAGGGGCAGAUCUGUCCAGCAAACCUUAUGCUGGCUCAGAGGCUGCAGGCACUGGGAGCAAGAAUGGACUACGGAGCAGUAAUCAAGAAAUUUAAUUAAGCAAUAAUCAAGGACUGAGUACAGAACAGCUGGGUCAGUGGGUCCCACCUAUAUUUAGAGGGUGACCAGCAUCAAUACUGUUUACCACUUAGUUAAAAACGGAAAGCUACUGUCUGAAGAAACUAAAAGAUAUGCCUGAAAAUACCUACACAUAUACUAUCCGUGUUCACAGAUAUAAAUUUUAGGAAAUAUAAACUGAUAAUCUGUGAUCACUCGACUAUCAAAGAAAACCAUCAGUCCCAGAGACAAGAACCAAGGUGAACAAACAGAAAAAAUGAACCUCAAAUUAACAGAUAAUUCUGGAAACAGAGAGAGAAUUUACAAACAAAACAAAACAGUUUUUAAUUAGAAUCUUGGAAGAGGUUUAAGAAGAUAUGUCAUUAAAAAAGGAAUUGGCUGCUAUGAAAAAUGGAACAAUCAGAAAUACUAAAAAAAAAAAACCAUGAUGGCUGAUACUAAAAGAAUUCACUAAAAGGGUCAGAGGAUAAAGUCAGGAAUCUUCUAGAAAAGCACAGAGCAAAAAAAGGGAAGAAACGUAGGAGAUAAGGAGAUGUGAUACAGAAGGUCCAACAAUGAUUUAGAUAGAACUUCCAGAAAAGAGAAUACAAAAAAUGAGAUGAAAAUGAAGAAAAUACAGAAAGAAAUUUCCCGAGGUUGAAAGGGACAAGUCUUCGUUUGAAAGGCUUAUGUAGUGCCAAGAGGGAAUGGUGAUAAAAUACCCACACCCAUUUCCAUCCUGACAACAGUUCAGAAUGUCAAGGAUAAAAAGAAGAUUCUAAGUGCUUCUAGAAAUGAAAACACAUACACAUAGGCACACACAUAGGUACAUGAGGCAAACCACAAAAGAAGAAGAUGAUUUUGACCUCUGACUUCUUAUCAGCUGGAAGACAGGAAGCCGUGUUUUUAAGAGUUCUGAUGGCUCCUAAUCUGCCAAUCAAAUGUAACUGCAAAGUAAGGAUAGUCUCAGACAUGAAGGUUCUCAGAAAUGUUUGCCUUCCAUUCACAUUUUCUAAAAAAAAUAAUUUGUUUAUGUAUUUCAGUGAAAAAAAGAAGUCUUAGAAAGCAGAAGACAAGGUAUUCGAGAAACGGGGGACAUAACUAGAGGGUAAUGGAAAGAAAUUCUAGGCAAACAGUGAGGGAGUAGGCGACAAUAGGACAGAAAAUCUGAAGGUUCUGUGGAGAAUGUCUUCAAGAGUAAAGUGGAUUCCAUGUGUAAGAACAUGCAAGACUUUAAUAUGUUUUGGGAAUUUCAGACUCCAAGGAGGGAUAAAACCAUAAAGUCACGAUGCCUCCAUGAAGUAAGUUAAAAUAUACCCAAAUUGUGGACAACUGACAGACUUUAGAAGAGAGAAUCUGUUCAGUCUUGACUCCUGACACAUUCUUCUUCAGGGGUGACUGGUUUAAUGACAUAGGAUUAUAUUCCUUCUCUUUCAGUGCAGUCAUGCUAUUUGGCUCUGCCAUGUGUAAUAACAUAUGAUAUAAUACUGUAAACUCUGCUUUAAAAGUUUUAGAAUCAACUAAUAGACAAUAUACAAAGAAACUUUCAUUAUAGUGUCAGGAAAGAAGGUAGCAGAAUAUAAAUGUAAUAAACAUUGAAAAUGUAAAACUAGUAUUAAGUUUGGAAAUAUAAUGUCAUAAUUACACACAUCUAGUCCUCCUCUAGUCCCAACCCCCUGGAGCUAAAAAGAAGAGUUUGUAGCCACACCAGAAA